ensembl:lncRNA
GAAAUGUUUUGCCAAGUCAAACGUUCAAGAAUCUGAGGGACAGAUGUGAGCCUUAUAAAGUGACACUGUUCUCAGCUUAUUUUAGUGAGAGGCUCACAUCAGAUGAAGUUAAUUAAAACAACUGAUUUGGGACUGUGAAAAUUCCGUGAGUUAACUCCUGUGUGAAUGAGCCGGGGUUUGUUUAGAAGCUGAAGAAGGUAAUAGCUAGGCCACUAGAGACCAAAAUGUGAGAUCUGGUAUCCCUGAGUUUUGAAUAACACUGUCGUUCAUUGAUCCAGCAUUAAGCCAUCUGACUCACAGGACCCAGCAAAUGAGCCUGGCUGGCGUGCCCUGCUUGAUUUCCUAGGAAAGACACAAUCUGUCACCCUAAUCAAUAUUGCUUGACUUGAGGCCAGCAAAAUAGUUUCUGUAGUUGUUUAUGUCCUGUAUUUAUCUAGAGUUUUAGCCAAUUCCUGGCAUAUGAACCCAUCUGUACUAAGCACAAGAUAAUUUAUAUCUAGUCGUGGGUUUUAAACCUUCUUUGAUGAGCACUAGUGGUCAGAGACGCAGAGGAUAACAUUCUCAAGCACGUCACUUUGAGACCGGAAACCUGAAAUUACAUCUUGCCGUGGUUCUCUCAAAGAAAGGAGAUGGAAAGAAAACCAAUCGUUCUCCUUCUUAGUUUUGGAAUAACUUUCUGGAGGAAAACUAAACAGUAUCUUAAGACCCUUAUUUAGAAGAAAAAGACUUGUGGAUCACCACACAUUUCUUUGCAAGAGGUUUCAUUUUGAGUAUCUGAUUGUCAUGUUGACCUUGGGUGGGAAGUAAUUAGACACGCAAGACUGAGCAACUGGAUGGUUCAGCCUUCUUGCAUCUGUGACUUGCUUCCUGGAAGGAACACUGGAACAGAUGUCAAACUACAGUCAGGCUAGCAGAUGGUUGAGGGAAGCAGCACUCAGGAUGCCACUUGAUCCUUAAUUCAAGACCAUACUGGAUGCUGCAUCUGGAAGAAGAGCUGUGCCAAGAACAUUGCUGUCGAAUGAGAGACUCUGUUAUUCAUAAAUAUUUAGGAAAAAUCAGAAUCAAGUGUUCAUGAGCAUAGUUCAUUUCAGGUCAGUUCAGUCGCUCAGUCGUGUCCGACUCUUUGCCACCCAUGGACUGCAGCACGCCAGGCCUCCCUGUCCAUCACCAGUUCCCAGAGUUUACUUAAACUCAUGUCCACUGAGUCAGUGAUGCCAUCCAGCCAUCUCAUCCUCUGUCGUCCCUUUCUCCUCCUGCCUUCAAUUUUCCCAGCAUCAGGGUCUUUUCUAAUGAGUCAGUUCUUUGCAUCAGGUGGCCAAAGUAUUGGAGCUUCAGCUUCAGCAUCAGUCCUUCCAAUGAGUAUUCCGGACUGAUUUCAUUUUGGAUGGACAGGUUGGAUCUCCUUAUACUCCAGGGGACACUCAAGAGUCUUCUCCAGCACCACAGUUCAAAAGCAUCAAUUCUUUGGUGCUCAGCUUUCUUUAUAAUCCAACUCUCACAUCCAUACAUGACUACUGGAAAAACCAUAGCCUUUACUAUAUGAACCUGUGUUGGCAAAGUAAUAUCUCUGCUUUUUAAUAUGCUCUCUAGGUUGGUCUAGCUUGGUAUAUGAAAUGAAACAGAUAUCCCAUUGGAGGAGGAUUCUGCAAACACUUCUAAAUCUGUAGUAUUUGGCCCUGAUGGUAAAAAAAAAAAAAAAAAAAAUCUGCCUGCAAUGCAGGAGACCUGGGUUCAAUCCCUGGGUUGAGAAGUUCCCCUGGAGAAGGGCAUGGCAACCCACUCCAGUCUUCUUCACUGGAGAAUUCCGUGGACAGAGGAGCCUGAAGUAUACAGUCCAUGGGGUCUCAAAAGAGUCAGACACAACUGAGUGACUAAGCGUAGCACAGUAUUUAUUCAUGUAACAUUUUAAUAAACCUAUGGAGAAUAGGCUUUUAUAAUGUAAAUUUUAUAGCUCUGUUGCUUUAUUUUAUUCAUUCUGUGUACAAAUGGAACUUUUCAUUUGUAAUAGUCCCUGAAAUAGUCAUUAUGUGUUUAAACCCCUCACACCAAAUGUAGACUCUCCAAGUUUUUGUCUUUAAAUAUUUCCCCAAUGCUUACAAUAUUAAAAAGCUGAGUAUAAUUAAUUGGUAGCAUGUAUAAUUGUGAUAUCUGGCAUCUGGUGACUUUUCCUGUUAUUCUUUUUGUUCUUUUAUUAUAACCACUUCAUUUGUGAAAUUUUUUAUGCUUCCUGCUUAAUACUUGCUAAGAAUUAUUUUUUCCCCCAGUGAGGUAAAGAAAGAGGCUUCAGAGCAAUGUUAAAUAC